AGAUUGAACGCUAGCGGGAUGCUUUACACAUGCAAGUCGAACGGCAGCGCGGACUUCGGUCUGGCGGCGAGUGGCGAACGGGGUGAGUAAUAUAUCGGAACGUGCCCAGUAGCGGGGGGAUAACUACGCGAAAGCGUGGCUAAUACCGCAUACGCCCUACGGGGGAAAGGGGGGGAUUCUUCGGAACCUCUCACUAUUGGAGCGGCCGAUAUCAGAUUAGCUAGUUGGUGAGGUAAAGGCUCACAAGGCGACGAUCUGUAGCUGGUCUGAGAGGACGACCAGCCACACCUGGGACUGAGACACGGCCCAGACUCCUACGGGGAGGCAGCAGGUGGGAAUUUGGACAAUGGGCGACAAGCCUGACUCCAGCAAUGCCGCGUGCGAGGAAGAAGGCCGUUCGGUUAGUAACGUGUCUUUUGGUACGUAACGGAACGUCGUAGUUA
rnacentral:rRNA from 1 species